UACGGAGGGGGCUAGCGUUGUUCGGAAUUACUGGGCGUAAAGCGCACGUAGGCGGCUUUGUAAGUUAGAGGUGAAAGCCCGGGGCUCAACUCCGGAAUUGCCUUUAAGACUGCAUCGCUAGAAUUGUGGAGAGGUAAGUGGAAUUCCGAGUGUAGAGGUGAAAUUCGUAGAUAUUCGGAAGAACACCAGUGGCGAAGGCGACUUACUGGACACAUAUUGACGCUGAGGUGCGAAAGCGUGGGGAGCAAACCGG
rnacentral:rRNA from 1 species